AGUGGAAUUGCUGGGUCAUAUGGUAACUCUAUGUUUAACUUUUUGAAGAACUGCCAAAAUUUUUUCCACAGUGACUGUGCCAUUUUACAUUCCCAACAGCAAU
rnacentral:pre_miRNA from 1 species